CCUACGGGGGGCUGCAGUAGGGAAUUUUCGGCAAUGGGGGGAACCCUGACCGAGCAACGCCGCGUGAACGAAGAAGUUAUUCAUAAUGUAAAGUUCUAUUAACAGGGAAGAAAGAGAAAUUUGACGGUACCUGAAGAAUCAGCUCCGGCUAACUACGUGCCAGCAGCCGCGGUAAUACGUAGGGAGCGAGCGUUAUCCGGAAUUAUUGGGCGAAAAGGGUGCGUAGAUGGCAUAGUAAGUCUUUUGUAAAAAUGCUGGGCUCAACCCAGUAGGGCAAAAGAUACUGCAAAGCUAGAGUAUGACAGAGGCAAGUGGAACUACAUGUGUAGCGGUAAAAUGCGUAAAUAUAUGUAAGAACACCAGUGGCGAAGGCGGCUUGCUGGGUCGAUACUGACAUUGAGGCACGAAAGCGUGGGGAGCAAACAGGAUUAGAUACCCGAGUAGUC
rnacentral:rRNA from 1 species